AAAUUGAAGAGUUUGAUCAUGGCUCAGAUUGAACGCUGGCGGCAGGCCUAACACAUGCAAGUCGAGCGGAAACGAGUUGUCAGAACCUUCGGGGGACGAUAACGGCGUCGAGCGGCGGACGGGUGAGUAAUACCUAGGAAAUUGCCCUGAUGUGGGGGAUAACCAUUGGAAACGAUGGCUAAUACCGCAUGAUGCCUUUGGGCCAAAGAGGGGGACCUUCGGGCCUCUCGCGUCAGGAUAUGCCUAGGUGGGAUUAGCUAGUUGGUGAGGUAAGGGCUCACCAAGGCGACGAUCCCUAGCUGGUCUGGGAGGAUGAUCAGCCACAC
rnacentral:rRNA from 1 species